UGGGGAAUAUUGCACAAUGGGCGCAAGCCUGAUGCAGCCAUGCCGCGUGUGUGAAGAAGGCCUUCGGGUUGUAAAGCACUUUCAGCGAGGAGGAAGGGUUCAGUGUUAAUAGCACUGUGCAUUGACGUUACUCGCAGAAGAAGCACCGGCUAACUCCGUGCCAGCAGCCGCGGUAAUACGGAGGGUGCAAGCGUUAAUCGG
rnacentral:rRNA from 1 species